AAAUAAGAGUUGUUUCUUUGUGAUCUUUGAACUUGUUUGCAUGUUUCUCAUUUGUUCUUUCAGGUAAGACAGUGAAGUCUUUAACUGCUCCAGAAGAAGAGGGUCUGGAAAGAAAAUGUCUCUGGCAAAAAAGUAUCAGGUACAUGAUACUGCAGAGAUUCAAAAUCAGAAGUAAAUCAGUUGGACAGUUGCCUCCUGCCUUCCUAAAGAGGCAAAUAUAUUAGAAACAGAAGAAGGGGCCUGCCUACCUACCUCAUUCCUGGAGAAGGUGGGUUUGCUGCUGUGGAUGCCUGCCUCGUUUGCUUCACCAAAAUGAGUUAGGGCAUGCAGGAGAGAAGGGAGACUUUUGCAAGCAGAACCUAUCAUGAUUUCUCAGGGGACAAAAUUUUGCUUAUUCAUACCUUCUACUGUGGCAAAAAUGGAUUCUUUUCCUCACCAAAAACCAGCAGCAUAACACCCAUCCAACACCUGCCUCAAGGAACUCUCAUUAUUUAA
rnacentral:lncRNA from 1 species